UACAGAGGGUGCAAGCGUUGUUCGGAAUUAUUGGGCGUAAAGCGCGUGUAGGCGGCUUUGCAAGUCGGGUGUGAAAGCCCUCAGCUCAACUGAGGAAGUGCGCCCGAAACUGCAGAGCUUGAGUACCGGAGAGGGUGGCGGAAGUUCCCCAAGUAGAGGUGAAAUUCGUAGAUAUGGGGGAGGAACACCGGUGGCGAAGGCGGCCGACCUGGACGGGUAACUGACGCCUGGAGACGCGAAAGCGUGGGGAGCAAACAGG
rnacentral:rRNA from 1 species